rnacentral:lncRNA from 1 species
UAGAAACAAUGCGCCUUGCAAAUAAAUAUUAGGAAAUAUAGAAUCUUUCUGGUAUACUCAUCAGGUAUUCUCAAAUAAGCUUACAGAGGGUAAAAGUACACAAACUAUAAUGCAAGGAAAACUUAUAUGGAAAACUAUGAAUGGGGAACAUUGGACAUUAUAACAAUAAUUUAAACCGCCGAGAAACUCAUUUGAUAUUUUCAAUGUCAAUUUACACAGGCCAAAAUUAAUUAGAAAUAAAAUAAAAUUAGUGAAGGAUUACUUAAUUAUGCACAGACACUGGCAAGUGUCAAAGAUUAGUAUUUUCACACCAUCAUGCAAGUAAUUUCACAUUUGCUUUGCUAAUUCCUUCCACUAUAUCUUAUCUAAGAUUCUUCAAACACCAGCACACUCAGAUUAUUUUGGUUUAAAUACUCAAAAUAGUAAAGACACAAUCACAAAAUUACCAUUUUAUAUUGCACAUGGAACUCGAGUUCUAAUUCUCAAGCGAAUCAAGGCAGAAGUUGCACAGACACUGGCAAGUGUCAAAGAUUAGUAUUUUCACACCAUCAUGCAAGUAAUUUCACAUUUGCUUUGCUAAUUCCUUCCACUAUAUCUUAUCUAAGAUUCUUCAAACACCAGCACACUCAGAUUAUUUUGGUUUAAAUACUCAAAAUAGUAAAGACACAAUCACAAAAUUACCAUUUUAUAUUGCACAUGGACCUCGAGUUCUAAUUCUCAAGCGAAUCAAGGCAGAAGUUCGGUUAUGUGUCCAAGCUUUAACUUUAGAUCAUCAUCAUAUGAAUCAAUGUCCACAUCUGUAUGAAACAUAACUUACAAAAAACCACAACCUUUAUGCUCCCUACCACCCUUGUAACUUUAGCAUGAAGACAUCAGCAUUCUGUUUAAAACUAAUAAACAUCAUCACAUUUUUAUUCAUUUUGGGUCCCGUAAAGAAUGGCAUAUCCUCAAAAUUCAAACAGAAUAGUGUCAGCAUUAAGAGGCUCAUGCUUUAAUAACAUGUUCGGUGGUUAGGAUUUGAUAGCACUCAGAGGAUUACUGACAAAAAUGAAGUUAAAAUCUUGUUCAUUAUACCAGUAUUGUAUACAAAACAUGCACUUCUGUGUAAAAGAGGUCAUCUAUCAAAUCUACUAAACAGGACUGGAUGCAUUUUGAGUUUAGCCUACUGUACCUGCAUCUUUAAUUUACUAAAGGCAAGUUGGACCAACAGUUAGUCAUAGCUCACUAUAAACAAAUGUAGUUAUGUAAACCAUGAAUAAUCAAUCUAUGGCUUAUAUGUUGUUACGUUUUGAUUGAGAAGUCCAGUAAAACAGUGAACAGCUGAAAAGCUAGUGGUAAAAUAUAAAUAGUACUUCAAGAGCAUGCAAGAGGCUGUAUCAUUUCUUUGUGUGACUGCUAAGAUUCUACACCAAGGAAACGAGUAAAGGAUGUGAAGCAAUAGCAGGCGUCUAGCAACAUCUCUUACAUUUCUUAUAUAUUAAUGCAACUACAGACGUCUACGUUGAGUUAAGUAUAUCUAUUCACUUGAAACCACAUUAAUUCGAAGUUCUAGAAUCUCCAUUUUAGUAAAAAUAACUAAUGAUACUUGACAUUUCAUCAAGUUGCGACCAAGGGAAAAAUAGUGACAACUGAUUCUCUGUCCUUGCAGGGAUAGAGCGACAGAAAUUUCGAAAAUUCAUGAGAAGGCCAGGGUGUUAAGACCCAUUUAUCAUUACGAUAAGAGUCAAGUCAAAAUAUGGUGAUGUAACCAGCAUCCAAAGCUUAGUUGAAUAGAGUGGUGGCAAAUAGCAGAAUGCCGUAACAGCUAAAAACGUAUUGAAAACUUUUUGUCACUUGCUAAAAAAGAAAAAGUAAGCCCGGGGAAUAACAUUUUCUUUCUCUCAUAUGACAUUAUUGCUGUUAUGCACGCUGCAAUUGCCAUUGGUUUCAAGUUUCAAAUAAAAAUGAAAAAACACACCUUUAUCAGAACAAAUGUGUAAAAAUAUUAAAAAGGAAGAUCAGAAGCCAAUGGCUUGGCACACAGAAUAAUAUCCUUGCUUAAAAGAUAACAUCCUCCCGAAGAAUUUACCCGAUGACUGCCAAAUUGAGCAUAGAAUUCACCAGUUCCUUGGAAUUACAGGAAAUUUUGGUAUCACUUAAAUAAUUAAUAGUUUGGAUUUAAUCAGUCUAUGAUAUGUGAAAUUGUAGCUCGAAAGGACUCAAGAAGUUCAUGUUUCAUUUCUACACCUGAUUAUAAUGAUUGAAAAUAGAAAUAAAUUAAAGAACUUAUUAAUCAAAACUACUCAGAGUUUGAAUUAGAUAACCCGAAAUUCUUGCCAAAUGAACGGACCAGUCUGUAUAUGGAACCAAUUAUCCCAAAACUCGGUUAAAAGCAAUCAAACUCAGCUUGGGAAUCCAGCCUCAAACUGUUUUUGCUUUAAUCGAAAAUUCCUUACAAAAUAGGUUCACGAUGCCCUCGGGUUAAAUGGACCCUCAUUGGACCUCCGUUCAUAGCAUUCAACAUAUUCGAUAGAUAUUCUCACCCACCAAAAUACAUCUACAAUGUGUGAAAUUCAAUCAUUCAGACACGUUUAAACGUUAAUCUGCCGAGUAACAAUGAGUUCCAUGCAACGCAACAAGGAUUAGUGUAAUUUGAGGAAAUUAAAGCAUUAUAAUUGCAAAUUGAAGAAGUUUUACGGAAGCAACCGAGAACUCACCAGGAAAUACUGGGAUCCAGACGUUGCAGCUUCAGGAUAAACAAACGAUUUCUUUUGAUGGAGCCGGCCUUUUAUUUAUUUUUCAGAAAAGCCCUGAAGGUAAAAAUCAAAACCGACGGUAUAGGUGUAAAUGAGUCGGGUCAGUUUCGGGUUGAACAAUCAAAUUGACCCGACCCGNN